ACACUCUCUUCACCAUCCAUCUUCAUGCAAAAACACAAAGCAAAAGCACAAAGCAAAAUCAACAAAACUGAAUCUUUUAUCUCACUGGUUUACAGUUGCUGAAGAAAAUGUCUGCUGUGGUAGAGGUGUGGGUUGGGGAGCUGGCAAAGCUGAGAGAAAAAGUACUUUCACGCAAGCCUUUCUUGUCCAAAGCCAAAGAAGGAUCAGAAAGGGAACAGGAAGAAAAGGAAGCACAGAACAAGAACACUGCAGUUACCAGAGACAGCAGUGGAACCAUGUCAGAGGCAACCAUGUGUUUGCUGAUGGAUCGAUUUGUGCCUUGGUGAUAUGUUUUUCAUUAAGGAUGUUCUUGCUGAUUUCAAGGAAUGAGCAAUAGCAGAAUCAAUAUGUUUUGUAUAUUCCAUUUCUAUUUAUCUAUCUGUCAGUUCUUAGCCUGCGAGUUAUGUAAUGGAAGUGUAAUGAAGUAUUGUACAUAAGUUCUGAUAUAAUCAAAAAUGGUAUUUGGUAUACCAAUUUUUGUUGAGUUUAAUUUCAUGUUUGAUUAUAUACUUCAGUUGUUCUGUUUUAGUUUUGUUGAGUCGAUAUAUAUAAAUAUGCAAUUAUAAUCUUUUUAGAUGUGUCAGUGGAUUUCAUCUCGCAGAAAAGUUAAAACCAGUGCAUUAUUGGUGCUUAUGCAACGUAAUUAGUACAUUUUAAAUCAAUUAAACCUUGACCUUAUGAUACUUUACAGGAAAAGGUAAACAAGAAUGACUCUCUUUCUCAUAAAGGGGUGCCUUUUGGUGAGAUUGUUGGUUAAAUUGUCGUUGUUCUUGCUUUUAUGAACAAAAAAUAUCCGAAUUUGCUGUUAAUUUUCAUUUUUUGUUUUGCAUAAAAGUUUGGAGUGCCUUUCUUCUCAGGAUAUUUUUCAAGCCUAAAAAAUAUCAGGGUCAGUACGUGACAAAAAGGUUAUAUUCACCUCACCUCCAGUUCAUUGAUUUUUGUCACAAAGCUCCAUUAGUUCAUUGAUUUUUGUCACAAAGCUCCAUUCAACAAUGUGCACUAUAAAGGGUGAUAUUUAACAAUUUGUAUCAUAAUAUCAAAAGGGUGAUAGCAAAAUAUAUCUCAGCAGAGUAAAAGCAAGAUUUUUUUCAUUCUGCGACUGUGUCAGCAAUGAAAAUUCUGCAAUUUAAUGUUUGGCAAACUUAAAUAUUGAGUGAUUUUGAUUUUACAAAAUCAAUUUUAGUUAAAACUAUAUUUAAAGUGAAGUGAAUUGU
rnacentral:lncRNA from 1 species